rnacentral:rRNA from 1 species
GUGGGGAAUAUUGGACAAUGGGCGAAAGCCUGAUCCAGCCAUGCCGCGUGAGCGAUGAAGGCCUUAGGGUUGUAAAGCUCUUUCGCUGGGGAAGAUAAUGACUGUACCCACAGAAGAAGCCCCGGCUAACUUCGUGCCAGCAGCCGCGGUAAUACGAAGGGGGCUAGCGUUGUUCGGAUUUACUGGGCGUAAAGCGCACGUAGGCGGAUCGUUAAGUCGGGGGUGAAAUCCUGGAGCUCAACUCCAGAACUGCCUUCGAUACUGGCGAUCUUGAGUCCGGAAGAGGUGAGUGGAACUCCUAGUGUAGAGGUGGAAUUCGUAGAUAUUAGGAAGAACACCAGUGGCGAAGGCGGCUCACUGGUCCGGUACUGACGCUGAGGUGCGAAAGCGUGGGGAGCAAACAGGAUUAGAUACCCGUGUAGUCC